GAGGAUAUGCUGGCCCUGCGGGAGAGAAGGGGGAGUCGGUAAGCUGCAGCUGCAGUGGGUGUGGGUGUAAGGAGAGCUUCAAACGGGGUGUCCCCACCCCGCCACCUUCAUCAACUGGACUGGAGAUCUUCCCACGAGGAGGAGCCCGCGACCCCUGCUGCCCCUGCCCGAGUCACUCCAGCUGGGGCUCUGCACAGGCUGGUGGCUGUGGCUGUGGAGGCGGAGGCUGUGAGGAGAUCCCAGCAGGCUUCUUGCAGAGAAGGCGACUGAGGAGGGGAAGGGGGGGCCCAGUCAGCUGGCAGAAUUCCCCUCUCCUGCCAGAUCAGGGCCAGGGGCUUCUUUUUUCUAUUGAGGCCACCUUCAUGGGGGUCCUACGCUGAAGGAAGGAGCUGAGGAC
rnacentral:lncRNA from 1 species